rnacentral:rRNA from 1 species
AGAACGAACGCUGGCGGCAUGCCUAACACAUGCAAGUCGAACGCUUUUGGGGCUUCGGUCCCAAAGGAGUGGCGCACGGGUGAGUAGCGCGUGGGAACCUGCCCUGUUGUGGGGGAUAACCGAGGGAAACUUCGGCUAAUACCGCAUACGCCCGGGGGAAACUCCGGGGAAAGAUUUAUCGCAGCAGGAGGGGCCCGCGUCGGAUUAGGUAGUUGGUGGGGUAACGGCCCACCAAGCCUGUGAUCCGUAGCUGGUCUGAGAGGAUGAUCAGCCACACUGGGACUGAGACACGGCCCAGACUCCUACGGGAGGCAGCAGUGGGGAAUAUUGGACAAUGGGCGCAAGCCUGAUCCAGCAAUGCCGCGUGAGUGAUGAAGGCCUUCGGGUUGUAAAGCUCUUUCGCACGCGACGAUGAUGACGGUAGCGUGAGAAGAAGCCCGCUACUCGUGCCAGCAGCCGC